UUAGCCCAACGAGAUCGGGAUAACACCUGGAAACAGAUGCUAAUACCGGAUAACAACAGAUGAUGCCUAUCAACUGUUUAAAAGAUGGUUCUGCUAUCACUCUUGGAUGGACCUGCGGUGCAUUAGCUAGUUGGUAGGGUAACGGCCUACCAAGGCGAUGAUGCAUAGCCGAGUUGAGAGACUGAUCGGCCACAUUGGGACUGAGACACGGCCCAAACUCCUACGGGAGGCAGCAGUA
rnacentral:rRNA from 1 species